AUUGAACGCUGGCGGCAUGCUUUACACAUGCAAGUCGAACGGUAACAGGCCGCAAGGUGCUGACGAGUGGCGAACGGGUGAGUAAUGCAUCGGAACGUGCCCAGUCGUGGGGGAUAACUACUCGAAAGAGUAGCUAAUACCGCAUACGAUCUAUGGAUGAAAGCGGGGGACCGUAAGGCCUCGCGCGAUUGGAGCGGCCGAUGUCAGAUUAGGUAGUUGGUGGGGUAAAGGCUCACCAAGCCAACGAUCUGUAGCUGGUCUGAGAGGACGACCAGCCACACUGGGACUGAGACACGGCCCAGAAUCCUACGGGAGGCAGCAGUGGGGAAUUUUGGACAAUGGGCGCAAGCCUGAUCCAGCAAUGCCGCGUGCAGGAAGAAGGCCUUCGGGUUGUAAACUGCUUUUGUACGGAACGAAACGGCUCUGGUUAAUACCCGGGGCUAAUGACGGUACCGUAAGAAUAAGCACCGGCUAACUACGUG
rnacentral:rRNA from 1 species